UACGUAGGGGGCAAGCGUUAUCCAGAUUUACUGGGCGUAAAGCGCGUGUAGGCGGCUGGUUAGGUGUGAUGUGAAAUCUUCGGGCUCAACCCGAAAACUGCAUUGCAAACCGGCCUGGCUAGAGUGCAGGAGAGGGAAGCGGAAUUCCAGGUGUAGCGGUGAAAUGCUUAGAUAUGACAUAGAACACCGAUUGCGAAGGCAGCUAACUACAGGGAUAUUGACACUGAGGCACGAAAGCGUGGGGAUCAAACAGG
rnacentral:rRNA from 1 species